GUGGGGAAUUUUGGACAAUGGGCGCAAGCCUGAUCCAGCCAUGCCGCGUGUGGGAAGAAGGCCUUCGGGUUGUAAACCACUUUUGUCAGGGAAGAAACGGUCUGAACUAAUAUUUUGGACUAAUGACGGUACCUGAAGAAUAAGCACCGGCUAACUACGUGCCAGCAGCCGCGGUAAUACGUAGGGUGCAAGCGUUAAUCGGAAUUACUGGGCGUAAAGCGUGCGCAGGCGGCCAUGCAAGACAGAUGUGAAAUCCCCGGGCUCAACCUGGGAACUGCAUUUGUGACUGCAUGGCUAGAGUACGGUAGAGGGGGAUGGAAUUCCGCGUGUAGCAGUGAAAUGCGUAGAUAUGCGGAGGAACACCGAUGGCGAAGGCAAUCCCCUGGACCUGUACUGACGCUCAUGCACGAAAGCGUGGGGAGCAAACAGG
rnacentral:rRNA from 1 species